rnacentral:lncRNA from 14 species
CACGCAGAGCUCCAAAUGUCAUUGGAUGUAAGCUGAAGGCCUCUGUAUUUGCCAAACUAUGGAAUCAAAAGAAUCUGCCUACAAUCAACGACUGUCUGUGGCCACUGCCUGGAAUUUUCUUCGUGACCAAAUCCAUUAUUAAUAGUUAUUCACUCAAUAAACAUUUAUUGAA